CACCGAUUUAUUUCGGGCCCAGUAAUAUUGCUUCAUCAUCAUUAUCAUCCUCUACCUGCUCUCGCGUUGGUCUUCGUUCCAUCGCGCGCGCUCCACCUCUCGCGUUCCACUUCUUUAUUCUAUGGUUCGACCGUGCCCGAUCGGACGGACGUUUUAGGCUUUCUCCAUAGCAGUUGCAACUGAUCGGCGAGGAUCCAUGGCUGGAGCGAAGCCAGUUAAAGUAGUCGUUGAGCAUUGUGGGGGAUGAGGAUACAGCCCUCGCUUCGAGGAACUGAAGAAGCAGAUCCUUGCGAAGCUGCCAAAUGCCACUGUGACUGGCACCGUAGGACGCAAAACAUCCUUCGAAGUGGAAAUCAAUGGGGUCCAGGUAUUCUCUAAGCUCCAAAAGGGUGCCUUUCCUGACUUUGGAGAGGUUGUUGCUCGAGCUGUGGACGCCAGCCAAGGGAAACCUGUGCAGGCUGUAACCGGUGUGCAGAAGUAGUUCAGAGGAUAGCCCAUGGCUCGAAGAUCCCUGUCGGAGCCUUCCAGACAUGUGUCGACUAAACUCGUUCGUGCCUGUGGCCCGUUGUUCACCGUCCCUUCGCACUUGCUCUGCCAGUUGGCCAUGCAGUUGGCCUAACUGAACAAUAGCUGAAGGCCUUGGAAUGCGUAUGAAUGAUGGCUUGACCCCAAAUCUUGAAAAGGGUCUUGCUUGAAGAACCAGCGUAUUCCUGCCUGCUGCUACUUGCUCUGUGAAAGCCAUUCAUGUGUGGACUUCGUACAAGUAAAUGAAUUUAAAAAAAAAUUGUGUAUCUUUUCCAACACUUUCUAAGUCUGUGAAAUAACAAGAGCCAAAUUCAUAGGAA